rnacentral:rRNA from 1 species
AGCGGGCGUAGCAAUACGUCAGCGGCAGACGGGUGAGUAACGCGUGGGAACGUACCUUUUGGUUCGGAACAACACAGGGAAACUUGUGCUAAUACCGGAUAAGCCCUUACGGGGAAAGAUUUAUCGCCGAAAGAUCGGCCCGCGUCUGAUUAGCUAGUUGGUGAGGUAAUGGCUCACCAAGGCGACGAUCAGUAGCUGGUCUGAGAGGAUGAUCGGCCACAUUGGGACUGAGACACGGCCCAAACUCCUACGGGAGGCAGCAGUGGGGAAUAUUGGACAAUGGGCGCAAGCCUGAUCCAGCCAUGCCGCGUGAGUGAUGAAGGCCCUAGGGUUGUAAAGCUCUUUUGUGCGGGAAGAUAAUGACGGUACCGCAAGAAUAAGCCCCGGCUAACUUCGUGCCAGCAC